ACCAAAACCCUAAUCUAACUCUAUAAAAUUCAGUCCCAUAGCUCUCUCCGAUUGCCUUCAAUCGUCGUUACUGCCGGCGAUGCCUUUCAUCACCACAUCUCCUUCAUCCUCCGGCUGGCCAAGCUAUCCACACCACCACCGUAUGAAACAACCGCCGACAACCACCAAACAGCCGGCAAUGCCCUUCAUCACCACCAAACAACCACCGACAACAACACUUAACAACAAUAUACAGUCUUCCGGUGAGAGAAUCUAUAAGUAGAUUGAAGCUGCCAUUUUGAAAUAUCAAGAAAUUUAAGGAAAAUAUCAAGAUGACAGGCAGAGCUGACAAAGGUAAGGAAAAAGUUGAUCUAACAAAACCAAAAAAGAAAAGACAGCAUCCGCCUUAUAGAUGACCGAUAGGUAUUCACAUAUCUGAGGGUUGGUUUGCUGAUGCGACAACACGAACCUCAUAUUCUAGAUCAUCCUAGCAUUCAGUUCCCACUCCUACGCAUGUGGGUCCACUUCACGGGUCUACACCGACCCAAUCUGCUUCCAUCAUCAUGCCACGACAACCACAAUACUAUCAGACGUCCGUUGGCACAUCCGAACAUGUGUUAUCAUCGAUACCCUCCUACAGCAGUCAUGCAGCUACAUAUAGUGAUUCUGCUGGAUUUAUUGGGUUGUUGGAUCUUCAUCUUGGAGGCACUCCAUCUGGUGCUUUAGAUCCGCCCAGGCCAUUGCAUCCACCAUCACUUGAUCUACAGCCAAGAGACAGAGAUGAUUAUGGGAGGCUUUAUCUCAUUCCAUUUGCGAUAGGGUUUAGGCUGGAUGCUAAAGUUGGACAAGCUAUGAGAAAACGCUUUUGUUGAAACUUCAACGGCUACUGGACCAGUUGGUGUCAGGUUCCAGAACUUGAUAGGGAGAGAAUGUUUAAAGAAUUUAAAAAAUUUUACUGGUGGGAUGAUGCGAAUACAUUUCUUAUAAGGGGGAACUUUUUCAUAAGAUGUAGAGUCAGGUUUAACGGUCUGUUAGAUUAUGCCCGAACAAAGUUGGUGAAACCUGACUGGAUUAGUGAACCCUUAUGGUAACUGUAUCUUCACCUUUGGAAUAGCGAAGGAUACCAACUACUGAGGGAAAAAGGAAGGAAAUCUCGGGCAUCAUCGAAGGGUGGCUCCCUACAUAUUGCGGGUGCCAGAAGUACCCUUGUUGUGCAGGAAAAAUUGAAAAAAGAAAAGGGUAGGGAGAUACCACACGAUGAGCUAUUCGAGGAGACUCAUCUGAAGAAUAAAAAGAACCCUACUGAUGGAGAUGUCUGGGUUGAACCUCGUGCAAAAUCUUCCCAUAGAGAGAGGUUGCAGAAAAGAGAGGACAAAACUUUAUCACAAAUCAGGAUGCUGCAGGAGCAGUUCAGCUCUUUCAUUCAGAAUGCAAGGAUUAUUCCUCCACGUCCUGGUGAUGUUGUUCAGGCUACAAAAAGACUUAGCCCCUUGGAUGAUAUCAACACAGAUGAGGACAUGGAAGAUGAGGACAAGGACAAAUUCGAUGAUGAUGACUUUUAGUUUUUUGAAUUUUAUAUGUGUUGUACUUUGAAUUUAGAUAUUAUGUUGUAGUUUGUACAUUUUUGAAACUAUUGUUGUAGAUGUUAACACUUUUGAAACUAUUGUUGUACUUUGAAUUUACACAUUAUAUUGUAGUUUUUACUCUUUUGUAACUAUUUUUGUGUUGUACACUUUUGA